GGCAUUGGAAGAGGGGAAGUGAAGUUGCAUCUUAUUGGCAGUAAAACCAUAAUGUUAUUGUUACUGAAUCACAAUAACUAAAUUGUAUAUAAACUUUGUCCUAUUUAUUCCCAGCUUUGGCAGUCAGCCAUAUGCGUUGCAGUGCUAACAAUGCUGUAUGUAGUGGCGCUAUCCGAGGAAGAUGUGUGUAUAAGAUCAAACAGCACCUGUACAUGUUCUUCUCCAUUGACGUCACGACCCCCCAGACCUUCAUUUGCUGAAUGCUAUGUUGGGGAACUACCAGAUCACCUCAUAUCGCUGAUUGAUGGCACCUGCGAGACCAAUGCUAUUGUAUCAUGUAAUACAGUAUGCAUGUUUGAGUGUGACGCAGGAUACACCAUCACUAACAAUGAAUCCAUCAUCUGUAAAUUAGGAAUGUUUACACCUGUCAUUCCAUCGUGCAAUGGUAAGAUUUUUCAUGGAUUUUUCAUUAUAUUGUAUCAAUGGGAUAUGUGAAGAAAGUUAUACGACCUCCUCCCCAUCUAAUGGUGAUGAAAGGAAACAAAUUAAAGAAAGAAAAAAGAAAGAGGGGGAAAGAAAGAAA